rnacentral:rRNA from 1 species
AACGUAGGACGCGAGCGUUAUCCGGAGUUACUGGGCGUAAAGCGCGGGCAGGCGGCCUGACAAGUCUGAUGUGAAAUCACCCGGCUCAACCGGGCGAGGCCAUUGGAAACUGACAGGCUGGAGGGCAGUAGAGGUAGGCGGAAUUCCGGGUGGAGUGGUGAAAUGCGUAGAGAUCCGGAGGAACACCAGAGGCGAAGGCGGCCUACUGGGCUGCACCUGACGCUGAGCCGCGAAAGCCAGGGGAGCGAACGGGAUUAGAAACCCCAGUAGUCC